AAUGCCUACAACCCCCUCUAGGCAAUGCUGCCUACUCCCCCCUCCCAAAAUUACCAGAAUAGCCCUCAACCACCUCCCUACCCCCCCCCCCCCUAACCGCACUAAACGCUUUGUCUUGUUUACUCCGCCCAUAAAUUUUCUCCAUUUAUUUCAUCCAAUCGUCCUUCACCAAAUCCUCACAACGCAAGAUCAUUAUUGAGAUAAAAGAAGAACCGUGGAUAAAGUUCGUGAAUUACACUGCACAAUAGCAAGAAAAAAUGAUCAAAGUCAACAAAAAGAUGGAAAUUAAGAAGGCAUGGGAUCGCAAGCAACCGGAAUCAAUAACAUAAACCUGAAUUUUUUGAAUUUGGAUUUAGAAUUUUAUUAUGCUUGAUAUUAUGUGUUGAAUUGUAUUGUAUGUAUUGAUAUCCAAUAUAUUUGUGGUGUACAAAUUGCAAUUUGAUUUUAUAAAAGAGAAAAUGAAUCUUUCCCUUUUCCUUGAGUA